CGUAGGGUGCGAGCGUUGUCCGGAAUUAUUGGGCGUAAAGAGCUUGUAGGUGGCUCGUUGCGUCGGGAGUGAAAACCUGCGGCUUAACCGCAGGCCUGCUUCCGAUACGGGCGAGCUAGAGUUCGGCAGGGGAGACUGGAAUUCCUGGUGUAGCGGUGGAAUGCGCAGAUAUCAGGAGGAACACCGGUGGCGAAGGCGGGUCUCUGGGCCGAUACUGACACUGAGAAGCGAAAGCGUGGGGAGCGAACAGG
rnacentral:rRNA from 1 species